ACGGGAGGCAGCAGUGAGGAAUAUUGGUCAAUGAGCGAGAGCCUGAACCAGCCAAGUAGCGUGAAGGAUGACUGCCCUACGGGUUGUAAACUUCUUUUAUACGGGAAUAAAAAAGGCCACGUGUGGCCUCUUGUAUGUACCGUAUGAAUAAGCAUCGGCUAAUUCCGUGCCAGCAGCCGCGGUAAUACGGAAGAUGCGAGCGUUAUCCGGAUUUAUUGGGUUUAAAGGGAGCGUAGGCGGGUCUUUAAGUCAGUGGUCAAAGCGUGUGGCUCAACCAUACCACGCCAUUGAUACUGGAGACCUUGAGUGCACAUAAGGAUGGUGGAAUUCGUCGUGUAGCGGUGAAAUGCUUAGAUAUGACGAAGAACUCCGAUUGCGAAGGCAGCUGUCCGGGGUGUAACUGACGCUAAUGCUCGAAAGUACGGGUAUCAAACAGGAUUAAAUACCCUGGUA
rnacentral:rRNA from 1 species